UUCAAGUAUGAAUCUUUUACAGGAAGAGGAGCUGAGAGGAGCAGCAGUUCUUAUUUUUCUUAUUUUUGCAAGUAAGCAGAUUGGUUAAAGGUAGCAACAAGAAGGGGAAAAAUAUCACUCAAGGGUGUGCUAAGGUAACAACACCCUCCCAAUGUCUUUGCUGUAAGUUGGUUAUGUGUUCAACUUUGGAAAGAUGAAAUUUGUUAAUGGAAAAGGAAGCUGCCAAGGUAAAGAGCAGCAUACCCUCGUAGGCUGCCAAAUGCCAAAAGUCAACAACAACAACAAAAAUGAACAAGGAAAAUGGACAUAAACAAAUAUCUCCACUGGAAUGAUGAUACCAUUACUCUUUUUUAGUAAUACGGGAAAGACAAUAUAUACAUGUUAAACUACAUUUACAAUUCGGAUUUGAUCUUUUUACUUUAAACAAGAACAUUUUGGUUA